UUAAGCGACUAAGCGUACACGGUGGAUGCCCUGGCAGUCAGAGGCGAUGAAGGACGUGCUAAUCUGCGAUAAGCGUCGGUAAGGUGAUAUGAACCGUUAUAACCGGCGAUUUCCGAAUGGGGAAACCCAGUGUGUUUCGACACACUAUCAUUAACUGAAUCCAUAGGUUAAUGAGGCGAACCGGGGGAACUGAAACAUCUAAGUACCCCGAGGAAAAGAAAUCAACCGAGAUUCCCCCAGUAGCGGCGAGCGAACGGGGAGCAGCCCAGAGCCUGAAUCAGUGUGUGUGUUAGUGGAAGCGUCUGGAAAGGCGCGCGAUACAGGGUGACAGCCCCGUACACAAAAAUGCACAUGCUGUGAGCUCGAUGAGUAGGGCGGGACACGUGGUAUCCUGUCUGAAUAUGGGGGGACCAUCCUCCAAGGCUAAAUACUCCUGACUGACCGAUAGUGAACCAGUACCGUGAGGGAAAGGCGAAAAGAACCCCGGCGAGGGGAGUGAAAAAGAACCUGAAACCGUGUACGUACAAGCAGUGGGAGCACGCUUAGGCGUGUGACUGCGUACCUUUUGUAUAAUGGGUCAGCGACUUAUAUUCUGUAGCAAGGUUAACCGAAUAGGGGAGCCGAAGGGAAACCGAGUCUUAACUGGGCGUUAAGUUGCAGGGUAUAGACCCGAAACCCGGUGAUCUAGCCAUGGGCAGGUUGAAGGUUGGGUAACACUAACUGGAGGACCGAACCGACUAAUGUUGAAAAAUUAGCGGAUGACUUGUGGCUGGGGGUGAAAGGCCAAUCAAACCGGGAGAUAGCUGGUUCUCCCCGAAAGCUAUUUAGGUAGCGCCUCGUGAAUUCAUCUCCGGGGGUAGAGCACUGUUUCGGCAAGGGGGUCAUCCCGACUUACCAACCCGAUGCAAACUGCGAAUACCGGAGAAUGUUAUCACGGGAGACACACGGCGGGUGCUAACGUCCGUCGUGAAGAGGGAAACAACCCAGACCGCCAGCUAAGGUCCCAAAGUCAUGGUUAAGUGGGAAACGAUGUGGGAAGGCCCAGACAGCCAGGAUGUUGGCUUAGAAGCAGCCAUCAUUUAAAGAAAGCGUAAUAGCUCACUGGUCGAGUCGGCCUGCGCGGAAGAUGUAACGGGGCUAAACCAUGCACCGAAGCUGCGGCAGCGACGCUUAUGCGUUGUUGGGUAGGGGAGCGUUCUGUAAGCCUGCGAAGGUGUGCUGUGAGGCAUGCUGGAGGUAUCAGAAGUGCGAAUGCUGACAUAAGUAACGAUAAAGCGGGUGAAAAGCCCGCUCGCCGGAAGACCAAGGGUUCCUGUCCAACGUUAAUCGGGGCAGGGUGAGUCGACCCCUAAGGCGAGGCCGAAAGGCGUAGUCGAUGGGAAACAGGUUAAUAUUCCUGUACUUGGUGUUACUGCGAAGGGGGGACGGAGAAGGCUAUGUUGGCCGGGCGACGGUUGUCCCGGUUUAAGCGUGUAGGCUGGUUUUCCAGGCAAAUCCGGAAAAUCAAGGCUGAGGCGUGAUGACGAGGCACUACGGUGCUGAAGCAACAAAUGCCCUGCUUCCAGGAAAAGCCUCUAAGCAUCAGGUAACAUCAAAUCGUACCCCAAACCGACACAGGUGGUCAGGUAGAGAAUACCAAGGCGCUUGAGAGAACUCGGGUGAAGGAACUAGGCAAAAUGGUGCCGUAACUUCGGGAGAAGGCACGCUGAUAUGUAGGUGAAGUCCCUCGCGGAUGGAGCUGAAAUCAGUCGAAGAUACCAGCUGGCUGCAACUGUUUAUUAAAAACACAGCACUGUGCAAACACGAAAGUGGACGUAUACGGUGUGACGCCUGCCCGGUGCCGGAAGGUUAAUUGAUGGGGUCAGCGCAAGCGAAGCUCUUGAUCGAAGCCCCGGUAAACGGCGGCCGUAACUAUAACGGUCCUAAGGUAGCGAAAUUCCUUGUCGGGUAAGUUCCGACCUGCACGAAUGGCGUAAUGAUGGCCAGGCUGUCUCCACCCGAGACUCAGUGAAAUUGAACUCGCUGUGAAGAUGCAGUGUACCCGCGGCAAGACGGAAAGACCCCGUGAACCUUUACUAUAGCUUGACACUGAACAUUGAGCCUUGAUGUGUAGGAUAGGUGGGAGGCUUGGAAGUGUGGACGCCAGUCUGCAUGGAGCCGACCUUGAAAUACCACCCUUUAAUGUUUGAUGUUCUAACGUUGACCCGUAAUCCGGGUUGCGGACAGUGUCUGGUGGGUAGUUUGACUGGGGCGGUCUCCUCCUAAAGAGUAACGGAGGAGCACGAAGGUUGGCUAAUCCUGGUCGGACAUCAGGAGGUUAGUGCAAUGGCAUAAGCCAGCUUGACUGCGAGCGUGACGGCGCGAGCAGGUGCGAAAGCAGGUCAUAGUGAUCCGGUGGUUCUGAAUGGAAGGGCCAUCGCUCAACGGAUAAAAGGUACUCCGGGGAUAACAGGCUGAUACCGCCCAAGAGUUCAUAUCGACGGCGGUGUUUGGCACCUCGAUGUCGGCUCAUCACAUCCUGGGGCUGAAGUAGGUCCCAAGGGUAUGGCUGUUCGCCAUUUAAAGUGGUACGCGAGCUGGGUUUAGAACGUCGUGAGACAGUUCGGUCCCUAUCUGCCGUGGGCGCUGGAGAACUGAGGGGGGCUGCUCCUAGUACGAGAGGACCGGAGUGGACGCAUCACUGGUGUUCGGGUUGUCAUGCCAAUGGCACUGCCCGGUAGCUAAAUGCGGAAGAGAUAAGUGCUGAAAGCAUCUAAGCACGAAACUUGCCCCGAGAUGAGUUCUCCCUGACUCCUUGAGAGUCCUGAAGGAACGUUGAAGACGACGACGUUGAUAGGCCGGGUGUGUAAGCGCAGCGAUGCGUUGAGCUAACCGGUACUAAUGAACCGUGAGGCUUAACCUU
rnacentral:rRNA from 1 species